rnacentral:rRNA from 1 species
CGGCCGGGCCAGCGGCCUAACCAUGCAAGUCGAACGGUAGCACAGAGAGCUUGCUCUCGGGUGACGAGUGGCGGACGGGUGAGUAAUGUCUGGGAAACUGCCUGAUGGAGGGGGAUAACUACUGGACAACGGUAGCUAAUACCGCAUAACGUCGCAAGACCAAAGAGGGGGACCUUCGGGCCUCUUGCCAUCAGAUGUGCCCAGAUGGGAUUAGCUAGUAGGUGGGGUAACGGCUCACCUAGGCGACGAUCCCUGCUGGUCUGAGAGGAUGACCAGCCACACUGGAACUGAGACACGGUCCAGACUCCUACGGGAGGCAGCAGUGGGGAAUAUUGCACAAUGGGCGCAAGCCUGAUGCAGCCAUGCCGCGUGUAUGAAGAAGGCCUUCGGGUUGUAAAGUACUUUCAGCGGGGAGGAAGGUGUUGUGGUUAAUAACCACAGCAAUUGACGUUACCCGCAGAAGAAGCACCGGCUAACUCCGUGCCAGCAGCCGCGGUAAUACGGAGGGUGCAAGCGUUAAUCGGACAUUACUGGGCGUAAAGCGCACGCAGGCGGUCUGUCAAGUCGGAUGUGAAAUCCCCGGG